UACGAAGGGGGCUAGCGUUGCUCGGAAUCACUGGGCGUAAAGCGCACGUAGGCGGGUUCUUAAGUCAGGGGUGAAAUCCUGGAGCUCAACUCCAGAACUGCCUUGGAUACUGGUCGUCUCGAGGGAGGUAGGGGUCUGUGGAACUGAUGGUGGAGCGGUGAAAUGCGUUGAUAUCAUCAGGAACGCCGGUGGCGAAAGCGACGGACUGGACCUUCACUGACGCUGAGGCGCGAAAGCUAGGGGAGCAAACGGG
rnacentral:rRNA from 1 species